AUCUGAUACUAUGCCUACGUAGAGCAUGUCAUAACUGAAGUGAAUUCUAGAACACUCAGUCAGUAUCUGCUGGACAACUGCUUAGUGAUGGGGAGAAAUCCCUACCAGAGGUGACCAGAGAGAAAGACAAAAAGUCAACUGGAAGCCGAGUGCAAUAGCACAUGACUGUAGUCCUAACUUCUCAGGAGGCUGAGGCAGGAAGACUGUAAGUUUGAGGCCAGCAUGAAUAAUACACCAAGACCCAAUCUAAAAGAAAAACAAAACAAAACUAAAAAAACUGGAAGUUCUGUGUACAUGAGGGAAGUUUACUGAUGGUAAAAGAGGAACCCUUCUUCUGAUGUAUGCAGACCCUGUACCAGGACACACAUCUUGGAAGGCUGCCAGUUCA